rnacentral:rRNA from 1 species
AUUGAACGCUGGCGGCAGGCCUAACACAUGCAAGUCGAGCGGAUGAAGGGAGCUUGCUCCUGGAUUCAGCGGCGGACGGGUGAGUAAUGCCUAGGAAUCUGCCUGGUAGUGGGGGAUAACGUCCGGAAACGGGCGCUAAUACCGCAUACGUCCUGAGGGAGAAAGUGGGGGAUCUUCGGACCUCACGCUAUCAGAUGAGCCUAGGUCGGAUUAGCUAGUUGGUGGGGUAAAGGCCUACCAAGGCGACGAUCCGUAACUGGUCUGAGGGGAUGAUCAGUCACACUGGAACUGAGACACGGUCCAGACUCCUACGGGAGGCAGCAGUGGAGAAUAUUGGACAAUGGGCGAAAGCCUGAUCCAGCCAUGCCGCGUGUGAAGAAGGUCUUCGGAUUGUAAAGCACUUUAAGUUGGGAGGAAGGGCAGUAAGUUAAUACCUUGCUGUUUUGACGUUACCAACAGAAUAAGCACCGGCUAACUUCGUG